CCAACCUUCCUUUUGUGUUCAUAAACCUUGUGUCAAAAUUUCAUAGAUUUCUAUUCUCUUAAACUAAAGUUAUAGUGCGAAAACCAAGAAAAUGCUUAUUUGGGCCCUUUUUGGCCCCUAAUUCCUAAAAUGUUGGGACCAAAACUCCCAAAAUCAAUUCCAACCUUCCUUUUGUGGUCAUAAACCUUGUGUUAAAAUUUCAUUGAUUUCUAUUUACUUUUACUAAAGUUAGAGUGCGAAAACUAAAAGUAUUCGGACGACGACGACGCCAACGUGAUAGCAAUAUACGACCAAAAAAUUAAAAUUUUUGCGGUCGUAUAAAAACUGU
rnacentral:lncRNA from 1 species